GCGGCCGUAGCUCAGUGGUAGAGCUCUACCUUGCCAAGGUAGAUGUCGUGGGUUCAAAUCCCAUCGGCCGCUCCA
rnacentral:tRNA from 2 species